rnacentral:lncRNA from 1 species
GCUCUAGGUGAGGGUGGCGAGCUAAAGGAGCGUGUUGGCGUGAGAAGUGUUGUUGAUGUAGAUGACAGAUGAAGAAAAAAUGUAAAACUUGACAAAUAACCGCUAAGGUGCAGAUGUAGUACUGAGUGUCGGGUAUAAAAGUUAUGACGCGUAAGAAGCGUCUAACACGUCUCUUCUCGUUUUUGCUGAGUUGGAGUGUUGUAUGGUAGAGGGGGGACAAGCACACGUUGUCAACAAUUGGCAUGGCUGCCCCCCACUAGCCACCACUUCCUUUGGCAGCCAUUUUCCUCAAAAUGAAGUUGUUGAUUAUGUCGAAUGCUGUUGUUACACGUGGCUCAAGCAAAUAAAUAUGUACGAUUGCGGGUACGGGACCACACAACAACAAGACAACCAAAAGAGGAGACUCCCAGCAAUGGAUUAUGGUAUGAGUAAGCGAUUCUCCAGCAGGGAAUAUGGGACUCGGAACUCCUGAGUUCCUCCUAGAGGAUUUUUGGAUUUCCUUGCUGCUGUUCACUUACGUGACGUAAAUGCCUAACGUAAUUGUUAUAACGGUGGCAAAGCGACCUCCUCAAUGCACCAAUCUGUUUGGAAAGCAAAUCCCAUGGCACACAUUGUUAAAGAUCGACCAGUGUUCAUGUAGGGGGAUUCAUAACAAACCCACACACACUUGUGCUUUCGUACACUCAUGAAACAAGAAAAAACCAACCGAAACAAAAUAAAAUAAAUAAAAAUAUGAAGACGCAGAAGUAAAACUAAUUUAAAACGACCUUCGACAUGUGGG